AUGUGGCACAAGACCGGAAAUACCUUGCCAGUGAUGGUCAACGGCCGGCAGACGGGCAGCAAAAAGGUUCUGGUGCUGCACACCAACAAGAACUUCGACCAGCAGAGGACCAACUGGGUGAUGCACCAGUACCACCUCGGGGACCUGGAGCAAGAGAAGGAGCGGGAGCUGGUCCUUUGCAAGAUUUUCUACCAGGCGAACACUAGGGCCAAGAGUAAAAAGAUUAUAAGAUUGGUAUUGGUAGUUGCCCAGCCCAUGACGACAACGGGGCACAAAGAUCCAGCAGGUAUCUACUGGCCUUUGGCCCGCCAGCAUUAG
rnacentral:rRNA from 1 species